rnacentral:snRNA from 1 species
GUUCUCAAUUUAGCAGUACAUAUAUAUUAAAGUUAGAAAGCCAUAGAAAAGAUUAGCAUGGCCACUGCACAAGGAUGACAUGAAAGGUAUUUAUGAUAGUGGUGGUCCUUUGUU